rnacentral:rRNA from 1 species
GGCGGUUUGUCGCGUCUGCCGUGAAGUCCGGGGCUCAACUCCGGAUCUGCGGUGGGUACGGGCAGACUAGAGUGAUGUAGGGGAGACUGGAAUUCCUGGUGUAGCGGUGAAAUGCGCAGAUAUCAGGAGGAACACCGAUGGCGAAGGCAGGUCUCUGGGCAUUAACUGACGCUGAGGAGCGAAAGCAUGGGGAGCGAACAGGAUUAGAUACCCUGGUAGUCCAUGCCGUAAACGUUGGGCACUAGGUGUGGGGGACAUUCCACGUUUUCCGCGCCGUAGCUAACGCAUUAAGUGCCCCGCCUGGGGAGUACGGCCGCAAGGCUAAAACUCAAAGGAAUUGACGGGGGCCCGCACAAGCGGCGGAGCAUGCGGAUUAAUUCGAUGCAACGCGAAGAACCUUACCAAGGCUUGACAUGAACCGGUAAUACCUGGAAACAGGUGCCCCGCUUGCGGUCGGUUUACAGGUGGUGCAUGGUUGUCGUCAGCUCGUGUCGUGAGAUGUUGGGUUAAGUCCCGCAACGAGCGCAACCCUCGUUCUAUGUUGCCAGCGCGUGAUGGCGGGGACUCAUAGGAGACUGCCGGGGUCAACUCGGAGGAAGGUGGGGACGACGUCAAAUCAUCAUGCCCCUUAUGUCUUGGGCUUCACGCAUGCUACAAUGGCCGGUACAAAGGGUUGCGAUACUGUGAGGUGGAGCUAAUCCCAAAAAGCCGGUCUCAGUUCGGAUUGGGGUCUGCAACUCGACCCCAUGAAGUCGGAGUCGCUAGUAAUCGCAGAUCAGCAACGCUGCGGUGAAUACGUUCCCGGGCCUUGUACACACCGCCCGUCAAGUCACGAAAGUUGGUAACACCCGAAGCCGGUGGCCUAACCCCUUGUGGGAGGGAGCUGUCUUAG